rnacentral:snRNA from 1 species
GUACUUACCACGCCAGUACAUGUACUAAAAUCGGAACGACACAGAGAAGAUCAGCUUGGCCCCUACGCAAGGAUGAUAUAGUUA